UACAGAGGUCUCAAGCGUUGUUCGGAUUCAUUGGGCGUAAAGGGUGCGUAGGUGGCGCUGUAAGUCGGGUGUGAAAUUCGGAGCUUAACUCCGAAACUGCAUUCGAUACUGCGGUGCUUGAGGACUGGAGAGGAGACUGGAAUUCAUGGUGUAGCAGUGAAAUGCGUAGAGAUCAUGAGGAAGACCAGUGGCGAAGGCGGGUCUCUGGACAGUUCCUGACACUGAGGCACGAAGGCCAGGGAGGCAAACAGG
rnacentral:rRNA from 1 species